rnacentral:tRNA from 1 species
GGAACUGUGGCUCAGUGGCAGAGCAUUUCCUUUGCCUGCUCAAGGUCGCAAGUUCAAUUCUUGGCAUCUCCG